CGGGCCUGAUGGGACACAGCCAUGCUGUGGAGCCUGGGCCGUGGCACAUCCCUACACAAAAUCCCAACUACGUUCCUCCUAUCCUGGGUGAGUUGCCAUGGCCAGGACAGUCCCUUCAGUCUCCAUCGCAGUUUUCUGCAUAAGGAAAAGCCCAGGGGGGCAGGUGUAGUUUCCAGAGGCUGUAUCUUAGCUGUUCUGUUUAGUUGCAGCUGGCACAGGCAGGUGCAUGACUGGCAGAGCCAAGCCAGCAGCACAGGGAGGUCUGUGAGCAGCAGAGCGAAAGGGCUGCAAGGCUUUUCUGGGGACAUCCCUGAGCAUGAGUGCCUUGGUGUUGUGAUGCUUCAGAGGCAGAGGAUGCCUCCCAGCAUCUCAGCUUCCUCUUUUUACCCUGAGUGGUGUCCUUUGUCAUGACCAACUUUGAGUGGAACCAAAUAAUCCAUUUUGCAAAGGAAGUGCAUCAGCAUCUUUCCUGCGGCAUCCAGGGGCAUUUCUUGACCAAGGCAGAACCUGGCAGGAGGAAGAAGGGACUUACUGCUGAAAUCCUUUGAAAUGUUCAUCAAAUCUCUUAAAUCACACUGGGCCACAGAUCACUGAAACGAGCAGCACAUGGGAGCCCCUGGCCUCCAUAAAAGCCUUUGUUCCAUACCCCUUUUGCAGCUGGAGUUUGUGUCGUGCAUAAAAUCAUGUGUUGGUAAAACAUUCCCAUUCUCUUUGGGGAAAACCAGCCAAAAUCCAGCUCCCAAAGGCCAGUGCUGUCCCAGGUCUCCACUGAGCAGAGAAUCAAGAUGUGCUGUGGUGCCUCCUGGGUCCAGCGAGGGCCUCUGGACAGCCCAGCUGUUGCAGCCCCAUUGCUUUGCUCCUUUGGGGUGAUUUUCAGACUUUCUCUGGACCCUAUGAGGUCUGUGAGGGUCCAGCUGUGUCCCUCCUCCCUGUCACAGGUGCCCAGCAGCUGGGGAGGUUGGGAGGGAGCGUGGGUGCACAGAUGCCACUGGUGCAUUCCCGGUGACUCCACAUGCUGGUGGCCCUGUGGUAUCAGCCCCAGUGCUACGCUGAGCUUGUCCUGAGCUUGUUCAGCAGUGGCAGAGGAACAGAACAGUGAGGAGACAGCAAGAUCAGGCCGGCAAAAGGCAGGAAAAGCAGCUCCAGGGGUUUGCAUCUUGACUGUAUCCUCAAGAACCCUUUAAGCUCAGGGACACCCAGAUGGGACAGGUGCCCUCCACACUUACAGGGCAGAUACAGUCCCAGCCUCAGGAAGCUUCUGCACGUCUGACAGGCUGGUACUCCAGCACAGAGCCCUGUUUGUUCACUCUGGCUCCUACUGGGAGCAAGUCCUUCCUUCCUUGUGAAGUCCUUCAGUGCUGGUCAUCCCAGGAAUUCCUGAGCUCUAUCAGGGACAGGUGGGAAGGACGGG
rnacentral:lncRNA from 1 species